GACGAACGCUGGCGGCGUGCUUAACACAUGCAAGUCGAACGGAAAGGCCCUGCUUUUGUGGGGUGCUCGAGUGGCGAACGGGUGAGUAACACGUGAGUAACCUGCCCUUGACUUUGGGAUAACUUCAGGAAACUGGGGCUAAUACCGGAUAGGAGCUCCUGCUGCAUGGUGGGGGUUGGAAAGUUUCGGCGGUUGGGGAUGGACUCGCGGCUUAUCAGCUUGUUGGUGGGGUAGUGGCUUACCAAGGCUUUGACGGGUAGCCGGCCUGAGAGGGUGACCGGCCACAUUGGGACUGAGGUACGGCCCAGACUCCUACGGGAGGCAGCGGUGGGGAGUAUUGCACAAUGGGCGGAAGCCUGAUGCAGCAACGCCGCGUGCGGGAUGACGGCCUUCGGGUUGUAAACCGCUUUCGCCUGUGACGAAGCGUGAGUGACGGUAAUGGGUAAAGAAGCACCGGCUAACUACGUG
rnacentral:rRNA from 1 species